CAGAACCAGGGGCUGAGUCAAAGCCGCACACAGCCUGGACCAAACCCCGGUGGGGCUCGGGUCUGCCUUGCAGACCACUGGGCCCUUGGGCUCAGGGCACCUCUGCAGAUGGCAGAGACCUAGGUUGCCAGGACUGUGCCAUCAGCCAGGUGAUUGCAGUUCACAGGUUUGUUACACCUGAAAUGAAUCAGAAAAGGUUCUUCUUAAACCUUCUCUUCUGUUGGGGUAAACUGAACAAUGUGUGUGUUGAUCUCCCUUGGCAGUAAGCUUCCGUUGAACAAGCUAUCUGCAAACUACUCCCUGAGAUGCCGUCAGCUACAGG